rnacentral:rRNA from 7 species
AAAUUGAAGAGUUUGAUCAUGGCUCAGAUUGAACGCUGGCGGCAGGCCUAACACAUGCAAGUCGAACGGUAACAGGAAGCAGCUUGCUGCUUCGCUGACGAGUGGCGGACGGGUGAGUAAUGUCUGGGAAACUGCCUGAUGGAGGGGGAUAACUACUGGAAACGGUGGCUAAUACCGCAUAACGUCGCAAGACCAAAGAGGGGGACCUUCGGGCCUCUUGCCAUCAGAUGUGCCCAGAUGGGAUUAGCUUGUUGGUGAGGUAAUGGCUCACCAAGGCGACGAUCCCUAGCUGGUCUGAGAGGAUGACCAGCCACACUGGAACUGAGACACGGUCCAGACUCCUACGGGAGGCAGCAGUGGGGAAUAUUGCACAAUGGGCGCAAGCCUGAUGCAGCCAUGCCGCGUGUAUGAAGAAGGCCUUCGGGUUGUAAAGUACUUUCAGCGGGGAGGAAGGUGUUG